rnacentral:lncRNA from 1 species
AUGGCGGGAAUGACGGGGAGGGGGGUCCCAAUCCCAGCCCAGGGGUUCCAAAUCCCAGUCUGUGGGUCCCAAUCCCAACCCAGGGGUCCCAAUCCCAACCCAGGGGUCCCAAUCCCAGUCAAUGGGUCCCAAUCCCAGUCUGUGGGUUCCAAAUCCCAGUCUAUGGGUUCCAAUCCCAGCCCAGGGGUUCCAAAUCCCAGUCUAUGGGUUCCAAUCCCAGUCUAUGGGUUCCAAUCCCAGUCAAUGGGUUCCAAACCCAGUCUAUGGGUUCCAAAUCCCAGUCUAGGGGCCCCAAUCCCAGUCCAGGGGUCCCAAUCCCAGUCUAGGGGUCCCAAUCCCAGUCCAGGAGUCCCAAUCCCAGUCUAUCAGUCCCAAUCCCAGUCCAGGGGUCCCAAUCCCAGUCUAUGGGUUCCAAUCCCAGUACCCCAUACCCAUUCCCAUUAUCCCAUACCCCAAACCCCAUUACCUGUAGGGUUUCCAGGGUUGAUGAUGCACAGUGCCCGAGGACAGCAGUGUUUCCCAGUACCCCAUACCCAUUCCCAUUAUCCCAUACCCAUUCCCAUACCCCAAACCCCAUUACCUGUGGGAUUCCCGGGGUUGAUGAUGCACAGUGCCCGAGGACAGCAGUGUUUCCCAGUACCCCAUACCCAUUCCCAGUACCCCAUACCCAUUCCCAGUACCCCAUACCCAUUCCCAUACCCCAAACCCCAUUACCUGUGGGGUUUCCGGGGUUGAUGAUGCACAGUGCCCGUGGACAGCAGUGUUUCCCAGUACCCCAUACCCAUUCCCAUUAUCCCAUACCCAUUCCCAGUACCCCAUACCCAUUCCCAUACCCCAUACCCCAUUACCUGUAGGGUUUCCCGGGUUGAUGAUGCACAGUGCCCGAGGACAGCAGUGUUUCCCAGUACCCCGUACCCAUUCCCAGUACCCCAUACCCAUUCCCAUUAUCCCAUACCCCAUUACCUGUAGGGUUUCCGGGGUUGAUGAUGCACAGUGCCCGAGGACAGCAGUGUUUCCCAGUACCCCAUACCCAUUCCCAUUAUCCCAUACCCAUUCCCAUUAUCCCAUACCCCAUUCCCAGUACCCCAUACCCAUUCCCAGUACCCCAUACCCAUUCCCAGUACCCCAUACCCAUUCCCAGUACCCCAUACCCAUUCCCAUACCCAUUAUCCCAUUACCUGUGGGAUUUCCGGGGUUGAUGAUGCACAGUGCCCAUGGACAGCAGUGUUUCCCAGUACCCCGUACCCAUUCCCAUUAUCCCAUACCCCAAACCCCAUUACCUGUGGGGUUUCCCGGGUUGAUGAUGCACAGUGCCCGAGGACAGCAGUGUUUCCCAGUACCCCAUACCCAUUCCCAUUAUCCCAUACCCCAUUACCUGUAGGGUUUCCGGGG